rnacentral:tmRNA from 1 species
GGGGGCGAUCGGAUUUGACUGGGUUACCGUCGGUCAGGGUGGCGUGUCGAGGUUGAUCAGUUGGCCUCGUAAAAAGCUGAUCAAACAAUAACUGCAAAACCGCAGUACUCUCUGGCUGCCUAAUACUGGUAGUCCCGGCCUAAGGGUCCCCGUCUGAGGAGCCGACCGCCGGUCAACAAUUCAGACUGGCGUCCGCUCAAUGUUCACUCCGGCGGAUGCGAGACUUUGUGGUGGACUAGCGACGGACGGUCUUGUUUGCUGAACCUCGUCGUUGCGAAAUCAAUCAACAGACUACACACGUAGAGGCUUUGGCCAAGGAACAACAGGACGCGGGUUCGAUUCCCGCCGCCUCCACUG